rnacentral:tRNA from 1 species
UCCCAGGUAGCUCAGAUGGUAAAGAAUCUGUCUGCAAUGCAGGAGACCUGGGUUCAAUCCCUGGGUUGGGAA